rnacentral:lncRNA from 1 species
CAGUUUAAAUUUUAGAGGGUACACAAAUUGGUUUUCCUGAUGGCUGCUCACAGCGAUGUUUCUUAAAUGACCCAGUGAUCACAGUUAUUUAGCUAUCAGGUAUUUUUUGUGUCACAAAUGUAAAAAUGCAAUGCGAGAGCAUUGUUCUUUCCCUGUGUUCAUUAUCCAAAGGAACCACAUGAACGAGUAAGAAGACUCCUACUUUGGGAUCAUUGUUUCAACCAGGGCAAAAAUACAGAUUACUGAAACAUUCAGAAUAUCUUCCAGAAAACAUUUGCAAUAUGACAAGCAGAAAUCUAUCAGAAAGAUGGAAGUCAGAGGAUAAUGUAGCUCACCACUGGAAUUCUUCAUAACGCUUUUCAAAUACUCCUAAAUGUGAUUUUGAAAUAAUUUUGUGUAUCUAAAAUAAACAUUAAAUUGUGAUUUGAUAAAGUGGGCCG